rnacentral:rRNA from 1 species
GAUGAACGCUAGCGGCAGGCUUAACACAUGCAAGUCGAGGGGUAUGCCGAUUUAUCGGCAGAGACCGGCGCACGGGUGCGUAACGCGUAUGCAAUCUACCUUUUACAGAGGGAUAGCCCAGAGAAAUUUGGAUUAAUACCUCAUAGUAUAGUGACUCGGCAUCGAGAUACUAUUAAAGUCACAACGGUAAAAGAUGAGCAUGCGUCCCAUUAGCUAGUUGGUAAGGUAACGGCUUACCAAGGCUACGGUGGGUAGGGGUCCUGAGAGGGAGAUCCCCCACACUGGUACUGAGACACGGACCAGACUCCUACGGGAGGCAGCAGUGAGGAAUAUUGGACAAUGGGCGCAAGCCUGAUCCAGCCAUGCCGCGUGCAGGAUGACGGUCCUAUGGAUUGUAAACUGCUUUUGUACGAGAAGAAACACCUCUACGUGUAGAGACUUGACGGUAUCGUAAGAAUAAGGAUCGGCUAACUCCGUGCCAGCCGCCGCGUAAAAC